CUUGGUCUGUUUUUAAGGGUUUAGAAUUAGACAAUUUGGCAUCAUCUUGACUUAAGGUGACUUAAACUUUGAAAAUAUAACCCACCCAAUGGUUUUCUCUGAGUAUAUUUUAUACUGGAGUUUUGGUGCAGGUACGGCGAUAUAGCACACAAAUAAUAUUGCAAUAUUGUCAAAAUGAUACAAUAUCACUAGCUAAAACAGUACGUUGCACAUUAAAUACCACCCCCUAAAACACGGUAGUUUUUUACUCUCGAAAAGGACAGCGCUAAAUCUCGUUAGCAUUUACUGACUGCCUCUGGGUAGCAAAUUUACUAAAGCACGGACUUAGUUUGCACAUAUAGCUAAAACCGAUACUUGAGUUUUGGUAUCGUACUACUCCCUGCCUGAAGGAUUUAUUGAUUAAUCCAGGUUCAAGUUGAUGGACAAACAAUCUUUAGAAUAUGUUUUACUGCAGGGGCCUGUUGCACAAAAGUAGAAUUAAGACAUCCGGGAUAAAUGACUAAGCUGAGCUCAAUGAAGCCAAAACAUGUGCGUCCAGGCUUAAUUGGUUGCACAAAGACCAAGCCAGGAUGAGCAGACACGGAUUCAUUAAGCCAGGUGAAACCAAUCCUGGAUAGGUGCGCGCUCACGGCUCACUAAAUAGACCCCGCCACAGAUCACAGAUUAACUGAUUUACCAUGGCAACUAGAGCCGAGUACUUUUCCCCGUCGGAAGCACAAAUCCUCAUGGAGGCAUACGAGGAGGUAAAAUAUAUAAUUAAGAAGAAAGGCAACACCGCCACAGUGAUAAAGCAACGAGAAAAAGCGUGGCAAAGUAUUGCAAACCGCCUGAAUGCAUGGUCUGCAAUGCUGACUGUGUGAUCAGCAAUGUUGUGGCAAAAUGGCCUGGCUCAGUCCAUGACUCCAGAAUCUUUCGGGCCUCUGAAAUCUAUCAGUGCCUAUCACAAGGUGAAUUCUCUGGUGUGUUGCUGGGAGACAGGGGGUAUGGCUGCCAGCCUUUUCUCCUGACACCUUUCACAGACCCCCAGGAAGCACAGCAGGCCUACAACCAUGCCCAUGCCAGGACCAGGGCCAGAGUUGAAAUGACCUUUGGCCUCCUGAAGGCACGCUUUCACUGCCUUCACAAAUUAAGGGUCAGCCCUGUUAGGGCAUGUGAUAUUACUGUGGCUUGUGCUGUCCUCCACAAUGUGGCCUGCCUGAGGAAGGAGAGGGCCCCAGAGUGCCACCAGCCAUGGACUGGGACAAUCCGGCAAUCUUCCCUGAUGACGACAGUGGUCGGCUGCUGAGGGACCAAUAUGUGUUGAAUUAUUUUAGUUAGUAUGUGUGCUUUCAAUUUUGGUUAAAUAUGUCCUGCGGUGGCAGAGGAAUUUGGUUUU